UCCAACUCAACCCGUCUCUAACGGGUCAAGUGAAACACGUUAAUGAUUCCCUCCCUGCAUCUUUACUCUGCACGGCAACCACAGACAGGAAGGCUCCUUCGAGGCAGUUCUUGAAGAGGUUUUGAAGUUUGCUUCAAAUCCCAGGUAAUGGAAUACAACCCUCUUCCAACUCAGACAGCAUUUGAUGAACACACAUAUUCUCUUAAUUUCUGAGGUUCUUCUGUGACACUUCCAGCAUUUUACAAGGUUAACUCCUAACAAACAACUUUAAACCCUCACUUGAUUUCAUCUUACCACCAUGAUAAAAUACUUCAAUAUUUAAUACCUGUCCAAUCUAGGAAGAUCAAAAAGUAAUCAACACAUUAGCAAGAAUCACCUAGAUAAAGUAACACUUUGAAAAUUGAAAAAUUCAUCACAAAAAGAACAUCAGGCUGAAAGGGACUUCCAGAGGUAAUCUAGUCCAACCUCCUGACCAGAACAGGGACAGUUACAACAGGCUGCUCAGGAUCUUUCCUCCAGAUAUAUAUUCCACAGACUCUGUAGGCCCUUAAUUCAACAUCUGAUUUCCAUCAUACUACACAUUCCUUUCCUGGAAUCUAAAAUUUCCCCAUGGUGUAACUUGUGCUGCUUGCCACUCACCCACCAUGCACAGGCAGGAAGGAGCAAUCCAUAAAUCCAUGUCUUACUACAGUGACUUUGUUGAAAUCAGCCAGAUUGAGACACAAAGCUAACUCCCACUUUUCCUCAUAUAAAACAUAAACCUAGUUUACAACUUUGAAGUUAUUUCUUUUUACAUCUAAAGUGUCCCACAGCUCUCCAUCCAAAGCAUUAAAGCAUGAGAGCCUUAAAGGCCACCUAAAAACCACUGCCACCAGAAAACAAAAGCCAUUCUUUGAACAGUGGCCUGGCAUUCUUCAUUAUCAAUCUGAGAAACUGAGAUGUGACACAGCAAACAAAUAUAGUCUGAAAGAUAAGAGUUAAGACUGAGUAGUAAGAGUCCAUAACAACAUCAAGUGUCACUGAAAGCACCAGGCAGCUUUAGCUGCAGACCUGAUGAGCCAAUUCCACCAGCAAUGACUGCAGCACCAUUUGCCAAGCACAACUACAAAGGGGGUGAGAUGAAUUUCCUCUCUUACACCAAGGCAAGAGAGGUCUAAUGUCUGCUGCCUUGCUCAUCAUCUUUGGGAUUAAAGCACUCUCUGGUCUGGCACCUCAUGUGGUUUUUAAGCCAGCAAGAAGCCAGCAAGUGGACACUUAGUGAUUUCUUCAACUUUAAGUCAAAACUUUGCCUUUCUUCAGAAGUGUCAGCAAACCCUGUCAAUGAAGGCAGAACAAAGCCCACAGACUGAACUUAAGGAAGGUACUCCUCAGCUGGAACUUGGGCAGAGUUAUACCAACACACCAAAUGGAGACAAAUCCUCCCCACCCACUCAAUACGCAGCAGUAAAAACACACAAUUGAAUGUGACUCUACCUUACACUUAACUUCAAAUACCUGAAAUGAAAACAAAUACAGCAGUUCUAAAGAUCCUGAAUCUAUAGAUUUUGUUGGAUUUCAGUCAAAAUUGCUUACAUAUAUAAUGAAAUAAUCUCAGUCUGCAAGGAAAACAGGGCCCAUAAGCAUUGUUCAUAUGGAAGUGUCCUACAGGCAAAUUAUUUCUAU